rnacentral:rRNA from 1 species
GAUGAACGCUGGCGGCGUGCUUAACACAUGCAAGUCGAACGAAGCACCUUGAUUUCUUCGGAUUGAUUGGUGACUGAGUGGCGGACGGGUGAGUAACGCGUGGGUAACCUGCCUCACACAGGGGGAUAACAGUUAGAAAUGACUGCUAAUACCGCAUAAGACCACAGCACCGCAUGGUGCAGUGGUAAAAACUCCGGUGGUGUGAGAUGGACCCGCGUCUGAUUAGCUAGUUGGUGGGGUAACGGCUCACCAAGGCGACGAUCAGUAGCCGACCUGAGAGGGUGACCGGCCACAUUGGGACUGAGACACGGCCCAA